ACCAGACCACCCAAAAUUUCUCCUCCUCUCUAUGAACUCCACCAUAGAAACCUAAUUAAGCCCUUAUAUCAGAAAACCUCACUAACAUUAACCUUUUACAUCUCUCAAUCGUACAACAGUUAGGUUUAAUUUUCAAAAUCAUCAUGUACAGGUAAAUCUCAACAGCUCUAGUUGUAGUUCUUCAUCAGGUGGAUUUCAACAACUUAAGUUGUAGUUCAUAUUUUCAUCAUAUACAGGGUCUGGAACUGAUUUACCCGGAAAUAUUCAGGGAGUUCUUUCUUCAUUUUAGUGAUUUUCUCUUACUGAAGAGAUGGAUGAGGUUUUGGAGAUGCUGGUACUGUUUUGUAGACGGGUUUAUCUUUAAUCUCAAGACUGAUGCAAUGGAUUUUAGAAUUGCAGUUAGAAAACUGAAGAUGGAGUUGUUGCUGUGUGAGGUAGAUAUGAACAUGGAGUUUUGGCUUCAAGUUUAGAAGUGGAUUCGAAGUCAAGGAUGAGAAGGAAAUGUGGGGCGACUAUGUAAUUGAAACGGUGAACUGAAAAUGCAGAGAAGAUUGAUUAUUUGCAGUAUGCAGCUGGUGGUUCUAAUUAGGGGUUGGUAUGUUUAGAUGUAGCUGAACUGAAGUGCAAGUGUUGGUGGUGGAUUUGAUGUGGUGGACAAGAUGGUAUGAAUUGGUAUGUAGGUGGAUUUGUGAACUGGGAUUGUGGAAUUGCAGGUGGUACUGGUGGUGCUGAGAAAGAGAAUGGGAAGUGACAGUGGAUGGAUUUUGUUGAAUGCACUGGAAGUGGUAGUGCUGUUGGACUGAAACGGUAAGAAUGGCUUAAGGAUGUGCUGUUGAAGUGUGCAAUUGGCACUGAGAUGAGCAAGUGCAGAGAAAGUUUAUCUGAGAGGGUUAAACAAAUUGAUGUUGUUGAAUUUUAGUGGCACUGAUUUGGAGAAGAUGAGGAAAGCUAUGAUCUUUUCCAGAUCAAGAUAAAAGGGCGGAAUGAAAAGAAUUAUUUUUAGGAAGAACAAGCUGGCUUUUGUAAAUUUGCAAUAGGGAAAAUUGAUUUGGGAAGGAACAACAUGGGUUGUUUCCUUUCAAAUCAAGGAAGGUGAGUUAUAAAAAAAAUUUAACUACAGAAAAUUUGUUUCUGUUUUUCUCAUGCUGAUUUACUAGUCGUGGCUAGAGCUUUUGGGCUUGGCCAGAUCAAUUGUUCUGUCCUAGUCAAUCAAAUAGCGGUUUGAAGGUAGCCGCUACAAUAUUUCAGGAUGGUAUGUGACCAGAGAAUUUGGAGUUAGUUUAAGCAGCAUCGAGGGUAAUUUUAGUUUCUGGGUCCCCUUGGUAUCCAUGAAAAUUUUGCAUGAUGCAAAUGAAAAUAAAAUCGUCUUAAUUGUUUGGGAACAAUUUUUGGAUUUUGAUUGUAAUGUGCAUUGAGCCUAUAACAUCUAAAUCCAAAACGAGUGUGGAAUCUUUUGGCAAUUAUAAUGAAGCUGCCAAUGACCUGUUAAGUUAGGAUAUUGUUCCUCUUAGGCUUCUACAUGAUCCGAAAGUGAGUAUUUCUUGUGAUAUAAGGUUCGCUUGCUGUAUAUGUUACAAUCUACUUUCAGCAUAGAGGGACCAUUCCUGAGGAAACUUUGAAUCAGUUGCGAUGCUUUUGUGAAUUAUUGAAACAUGAAAUUAAGAGGGAUGGUGUGAUCUCAUAGGUGUUUCAAAAAAUUUUGAAUUUUGGAUACUUUAGUACCUUUCUAAAAUCUGUGAAAGGCCGUUUGUGCCUUGGGUAUCUUUUCUGUCAUAUGAAUCUUACCAGUGAAUGCUUAUGUAGUUGAUUUUAUAUUACAUGGGCAUCAAUUCGAGCAUGUUUAUUUGUUACUCGGGACUCUUAUUUGCUCGUAUGCAGUAUUGGGAUGGUAAUUGCAGUAUCUCUUCCACUUUAGGAUUGAUUAUUGCAAUAAUUUUUUAUUUUUUGAUCUCUUUACCAGCAUUAAGCGCUAUACUGCUAACUACUUUGCAUUUUUUUUUCAAGUAUGAUAAUUCAUUCGUAGUGAUACUUCUGAUUUUGUCAUUGAUAAAUUACAUAAUAAAAUGGUUUUUAGUUGCUGAUGGCAUGAUGAAUGACGGCUUUCAAUAUAAUAUUUGCUAGCUAUACUAAUGAUCAAUAAAACAGUUCAUGUUUCCUAAUUGCUUUAUGUGUUUCGGGUACUAUAUGCAUAUAUAGAAUCUCUCAAGCAGAAUCUUAUGUUGUUCUGAGUUUUAGGCGAGGUGCUAUGUUCCUGGUGCAUAUCCAUCAGCAGCUUAUUAUUAUUCAAGUAAACUUUGUUUCUACUAUUGCUAUUGUAAGGAUAAGGAAAUAAAAAGACAUCAGUUUGUGUCAGUAAAUAUAAGGAGGGAAACUUGUUGAGAUGGUGAAGUAAACCUCUCGCAUGCUCCAACAGUGUUCCAUUGAGUUUUACUUCAGAGCUAGUUGAUAACAUCUUUGAUCAGCUCCCCUUUACCUCUUUGCGGGUGAAUAGAUCGAUUUCCACUUGAAGGAUUAUGGUCUUCUCUGCUUGUAUAACACUUGCAGAUAGUUUAUUCUCUGGGGUCUCACUCUUUUCUUAUAUGUUUUUCCAGGUGGUUAUGAGAAUGGUGUGACUGGAGAUUGGGCAAAGGAUUACUCUAGAUAUAUGUUUCAAGAUGGAGUGGAGAUGACACAUCUGCUUUACCACGAUGGAUAUAGAUAUGCACCCUAUGGCGCUUAUAGUCCAGCAGGUUCUCCUGUUCCUACCAUGGGACAUGAUGGACUGUACGGGCCUCAGCACUGCCAUGGGACAUGAUGGGCUCAAAACCCAUUUCCUCUCCAAAAAUAGCUGUAGAGUCUUCCACAUUGUCAAAGGAUGAGGCUGAGGUUAAGGGAGCUUCAAAUCCCAACAUGAGGUGACUAUCAAGAAUUCCUUGUAACUGCUCGGACCAAGCUUUGUUUAUUCCUUCCAUGCUCUGUUAGCUUUGCAGGUGUUCGAUGUAGUGUAAUUCAUUUUAUACAAGCAUGUCGUUAAUUAGUUCUCUUGUUAAAGGUUUAGAUUGCUGAUGGUUUAAAUGCUCAUGACAUAAUCACUGAUAUACAUACCGCUUUACAUCUUCAACACAUGAUCCGAUAGACCACUUUGAAUCCUAAAUGUUAUAUGAGGUGCUUUCUCCUUAUAGACCGGAGUACCAUGUUGCAGAAGAGAUAAAAUGGUACAACAUCAAUACCAACUGCAAAAGCUUAGACUUAUUUCAAAAAGCGAAGCUAAGUAUCACUGUCUCCUACUGAUUUUGUAUUCUAUUUGAAUUAGGCAUCGAGUUGAGCAUUACUGAGAUCGACUUGUUUGCAGGUGCUGGUAGAAAGAAAGGAGGUGUUGGGCGUCUAGUAAUGUCAUUAGGAAUGUCAUAGACUUCUUAUUAUUACCCUGGAAAGCUAGUCCAGGAUCGGAAGGCUGAAAACCUGAUUUUCUUUUCAUGUGCAAGUCAUACAUAUUUCUGAGUAGCUUUCACCCCCCUUGUUGUAAGCUUUCAAACCCUCAAAUGCACAUAUUAUGUUAACUACUCAGUACACAUAUAAGUCUAGUUAUACUUAUAUCCACCUUAUAUUGUUUUUUCAUAA